AGGCCUUGGUGGAGACAGCAAGGGUGGGAUGGUUCAAGCCACCUCUACUCCUGCCCCACCAG
ensembl:miRNA